rnacentral:rRNA from 1 species
GGCGGCAGGCCUAACACAUGCAAGUCGAGCGGCAGCACGGGUACUUGUACCUGGUGGCGAGCGGCGGACGGGUGAGUAAUGCCUAGGAAUCUGCCUGGUAGUGGGGGAUAACGCUCGGAAACGGACGCUAAUACCGCAUACGUCCUACGGGAGAAAGCAGGGGACCUUCGGGCCUUGCGCUAUCAGAUGAGCCUAGGUCGGAUUAGCUAGUUGGUGAGGUAAUGGCUCACCAAGGCGACGAUCCGUAACUGGUCUGAGAGGAUGAUCAGUCACACUGGAACUGAGACACGGUCCAGACUCCUACGGGAGGCAGCAGUGGGGAAUAUUGGACAAUGGGCGAAAGCCUGAUCCAGCCAUGCCGCGUGUGUGAAGAAGGUCUUCGGAUUGUAAAGCACUUUAAGUUGGGAGGAAGGGCAGUUACCUAAUACGUAAUUGUUUUGACGUUACCGACAGAAUAAGCACCGGCUAACUCUGUGCCAGCAGCCGCGGUAAUACAGAGGGUGCAAGCGUUAAUCGGAAUUACUGGGCGUAAAGCGCGCGUAGGUGGUUCGUUAAGUUGGAUGUGAAAUCCCCGGGCUCAACCUGGGAACUGCAUUCAAAACUGUCGAGCUAGAAUAUGGUA